rnacentral:lncRNA from 1 species
GUGACACCAACGUGUCACUGUAGACAAGAUCCUACGUAAAAUCUAUAUCUAUAUAUCUAAUAAAUCAAACCAUUGGGGGACACAUGUCACCCAAUGGUGCAAGCCAACUAAGCAGACAUGUCAGCAUCUAUGUGGCACACCUCAUAGUUGAGGAUUGAAGGAGUGUUUCUCAUUUACGUUCAUCACAAUAUCUCUCCUCUCAAAACCCUAAAUCGAACUCUCUCUCUUUUUUCCUCUCUGAACGAACACGGCGAACACAGGAACUAUAAUUGAUCCAAUAAUUUUGUUCAAGACUCAUAGGAUUUGAAGUCAGAUCAUCUACGGAAAUCACAUCGGCCAGAUCAAAUUGGUGAUUUUGUGAAGAGAUUUUAAGAUUUGGGAGGAUCUAAAAGGUUAUUGAAGGCUUUAAUCGGAAAUUUCUGUUUGGCUGUGGUUGGUUUAAAUGGACGGUUGUUACACGGAGGCUGUGAUGAGUUAUCAAAAUAAAGCCAAUAUGUCGCCAUGGCGUGGCAGAUAUGGAGGAUGGCAAUUGGCGAUGAUGUUCUAGGUCUGAUCAUUGUUUGACGUGGCAUCAUAGAGGAUUGCAGGUGCAUUUUUAUAUGCUUACAACCUAUGGUGCAGCCAUGAUAGCUUGAGACCUUUGUAUGAGCCUUACCGUGCUGGUAUUCAUCGACGAGAUGUGUAUGUGGUUGAUGUUGAACAAAAUAAAGCCAAUAUGUCGCCAUGGCAUGGCAGAUAUGGAGGAUGGCAGGUCUGAUCAUUGUUUGACGUGGCAUCAUAGAGGAUGGCAGGUGCAUUUUUAUAUGCUUGCAACAUAUGGUGCAGCCAUGAUAGCUUGAGACCUUUGUCUGAGCCUUACCGUGCUGGUAUUCAUCGACGGUAUCCAUGCUUGAUUUCUAUAAACCCAUCAGGUCUGUAAUAGUCAAUGGUUUUGCUAAUGGAGUGUAUGUAAUGUUGUCGAGGUGUCAGUGAUAUUGUCGAGGA